rnacentral:rRNA from 1 species
GAUGAACGCUGGCGGCGUGCUUAACACAUGCAAGUCGAACGAAGUGUUUAUUCAAAGUUCUUCGGGAUAGAGAAUAAAUUACUUAGUGGCGGACGGGUGAGUAACGCGUGGGUAACCUGCCUCACACAGGGGGAUAACAGUUGGAAACGACUGCUAAUACCGCAUAAGACCACAGCACCGCAUGGUGCAGGGGUAAAAGAUUUAUCGGUGUGAGAUGGACCUGCGUCUGAUUAGAUAGUUGGUGGGGUAGAAGCCUACCAAGUCAACGAUCAGUAGCCGACCUGAGAGGGUGAUCGGCCACAUUGGGACUGAGACACGGCCCAAACUCCUACGGGAGGCAGCAGUGGGGAAUAUUGGACAAUGGGGGAAACCCUGAUCCAGCAACGCCGCGUGAGUGAAGAAGUAUUUCGGUAUGUAAAGCUCUAUCAGCAGGGAAGAAAAUGACGGUACCUGACUAAGAAGCCCCGGCUAACUACGUGCCAGCAGCCGCGGUAAUACGUAGGGGGCAAGCGUUAUCCGGAUUUACUGGGUGUAAAGGGAGCGUAGACGGCAUAGCAAGUCUGAAGUGAAAGCCCGGGGCUCAACCCCGGAACUGCUUUGGAAACUGUUAAGCUAGAGUGUCGGAGAGGUAAGUGGAAUUCCCAGUGUAGCGGUGAAAUGCGUAGAUAUUGGGAGGAACACCGGUGGCGAAGGCGGCUUACUGGACGAUAACUGACGUUGAGGCUCGAAGGCGUGGGGAGCAAACAGG